UCUGANGUUAAAGGCUGUGGCUUAACCAUAGUAUGCUUUGGAAACUGUUUAACUUGAGUGCAGAAGGGGAGAGUGGAAUUCCAUGUGUAGCGGUGAAAUGCGUAGAUAUAUGGAGGAACACCGGUGGCGAAAGCGGCUCUCUGGUCUGUAACUGACGCUGAGGCUCGAAAGCGUGGGGAGCAANCAGGAUUAGAUACCCUGGUAGUCCACGCCGUAACCGAUGAGUGCUAGGUGUUAGGCCCUUUCCGGGGCUUAGUGCCGCAGCUAACGCAUUAAGCACUCCGCCUGGGGAGUACGACCGCAAGGUUGAAACUCAAAGGAAUUGACGGGGGCCCGCACAAGCGGUGGAGCAUGUGGUUUAAUUCGAAGCAACGCGAAGAACCUUACCAGGUCUUGACAUCCCUCUGACCGCUCUAGAGAUAGAGUUUUCCUUCGGGACAGAGGUGACAGGUGGUGCAUGGUUGUCGUCAGCUCGUGUCGUGAGAUGUUGGGUNNNNNNNNNNNNNCGAGCGCAACCCCUAUUGUUAGUUGCCAUCAUUGAGUUGGGCACUCUAGCGAGACUGCCGGUAAUAAACCGGAGGAAGGUGGGGAUGACGUCAAAUCAUCAUGCCCCUUAUGACCUGGGCUACACACGUGCUACAAUGGCUGGUACAACGAGUCGCAAGCCGGUGACGGCAAGCUAAUCUCUGAAAGCCAGUCUCAGUUCGGAUUGUAGGCUGCAACUCGCCUACAUGAAGUCGGAAUCGCUAGUAAUCGCGGAUCAGCACGCCGCGGUGAAUACGUUCCCGGGCCU
rnacentral:rRNA from 1 species